UUUCCUUCUUUUGAAAUUGCAUUCGUUUUUAUGAAAGUAUAGAAAAAUAUUAAAUAAUGCAUUAUUGUGAUAAAGGAGACAUGGCAAUAUCGAACGCUAUAGAAUUACAAAUGCUUUAUAAAUCGAAUUAUUUUUUUAAGGGGGGAACACCAGUUGUAACUUUCGAAAAAUCAAUUUUUUUUUUUGUGCAUUUUCUUAAAGUACACAUAUUUAGAAAUGUGUCUGUAAAUUUCAAAGUUGAUCCGGUGAAAAAUAAAUGAGAUAUACAGAACACUGCAUCGGCGCGUCCCGUGGCUUCAUACAAGGUGGCCAGCCAUAACUGACCCUAACGACAGAUGGCCUUUUCCUAUGAUUUAGAAACGGCAACCACUGCGGAAGAGUUAUUAUAUGGUCCAAGAAUCGAUGACUCUUUGUAACUUGGAAACAAAAUUUCUUCUGAACAAAAAAAAACGAAGUAUACUUGCAGAAUGCUGGUCACCGCAAUUCGCCUUUUUUCUUAAGACGCCACUUCAAUGGCUCAUAUCUCCAAAAGUUUUUGUUAAAAAAAUUUUUUUUUUCUUUUAAAUUACAGCUUUUUACAUGUACUUUUAACUAAUAAAUAGUAUUCUUUAAAAA